rnacentral:rRNA from 1 species
UACAGAGGUCCCAAGCGUUGUUCGGAUUCAUUGGGCGUAAAGGGUGCGUAGGCGGCGCGGUAAGUCGGAUGUGAAAUCUCGGAGCUUAACUUCGAAACUGCAUUCGAUACUGCCGUGCUUGAGGACUGGAGAGGAGACUGGAAUUCCCGGUGUAGCGGUGAAAUGUGUAGAGAUCGGGAGGAACACCGGUGGCGAAGGCGGGUCUCUGGGCAACUCCUGACGCUGAGGCGCGAAAGCGUGGGGAGCAAACGGG